GGCCUGGAUGGAAAAGAGUAGAUGGGAGAAGGAUGGCUGUAAAGGGCAGAAAGAAACGGAUCCGGUCUGAAACAAAAACAUCUAAAUCUCAGGUGGUCACCUUGGCUCUCCUUAAAAAUAACAGGGAAUACUCAAGCACUCAGCUUUUGGGAGACACAUAGAAGAGGAUGAAUCUUGUUAAAACCUUGAGUUAUAGAAGUGUGAGGGGCAGGCUUUAUCUCAUUUCAUUUCAGAAGUCUACAGCACAUCUGACCAGAUCACAGUCAACAGGGAGAUAAAGUACUGCUGAGGGUGCAAUUGCUUAGUGUACAUAGAUGUUUGUUGAGAAUGGGGUAACUUGUGUCCUAAAAGUGCCUGUUUCUCUCUCUGAAUUGCAAAGGGAAACCAGUUGAGUAGGGUUCUAAUUGACAUCUCCCUUUCGGGAGGGAAAUGUCGUAUCUUGAGAAGCAUCUUCAGAGAGGAUUCAGGGAGCCCAGCACUUGAGGUCCGAGGCUCCAAUUCCUACCUGCCCAGUGGAAAACUGUUGCCCUGAGGGAGGAUGAACAUUCCACUUGGAAACCAAGUUCAUGAUCCGGUCAGGCCAUGGGAUGCUCUCAUACUGAGCCCACCAGCGGGACACCACCAGAGCCACGUAGAAACCUAGAGGAUCAGCCUAAAAGGAAGAAACAGAAGCAUCAUUCUCAAAGAAGAGUCUAUGCCUUGUUGGGCCUGCUGAGGUAUAGGAGCCUGGCAAAGGAAGCCAAGGAUGUGUAGUCAGAACACUGUCAUGCCAUGCCAUGAGGAUGCUGUGAGUGAACGCUGCUCAUGAGCCCACCUCCCAAAAUACCCUGCUGACCAGUCCAAAGGAGCCAGAAUGGUCACUGACAGGUGUAAGUGAUGCAGGUUGAUGUCAGGGACUACCACUUUUUUCAUACUCAGUGCUGUGUCGUACCAAGGGUUUGACACAGAGCUUGGGUGUGCACUGCAGUUCACUUAAUACCCCACAAAAUGUGAGCCCAAGCUCUGCUCUUACGUGAGCUCCUGUCUUUUUCUUAGAGCCACUUCCCUGCUUCUGUGCUGCAUUUGUGAUCAGCACAGAGCUCCCUCUUUCCUCAUCAGAUUUUCUUUUACAAGGGCCUGUAGGGACAGGCCAAGGGGAAUGGCUUGAACCUGCCAGAGGGGAGACUGGGAUGAGCUCUUAGGCAGAAGCUCUUCCCUGUGAGGGUGCUGAGGCGCUGGCACAGGGUGCCCAGAGAAGCUGUGGCUGCCCCAUCCCUGACAGUGCUCAAGGCCAGGUUGGACACAGGGGCUUGGAGCAAGCUGCUCCAGUGGAAGGUGUCCCUGCCCGUGGCAGGGGUUGGAACUGGAUGAGCUUGAAGGUCCCUUCCAACUCAAACCAGUCUGGGAUUCUAUGAAAAUCAGAGUGGCCACAGUUGCCUCAUUACAGAUCUGUGGUCCCAGGGCUGAUGUCAGCUCUCAGAAAUGUACCCAAGGCAUUGCCUGUUGUGUAACAAGGGAAACUCUUGCCUAAAGCUCCUGGCUGUGGGCCAUCUCCAGGACCAGUUCAAUCAUGGUCUCCAUUGA